CGAAGGAUGCAAGCGUUAUCCGGAUUUAUUGGGUUUAAAGGGAGCGUAGGCGGUCUUAUAAGUCAGUGGUGAAAUCUCGUUGCUUAACAACGACCGUGCCAUUGAUACUGUAGGACUUGAGUACAGUUGCCGUUGGCGGAAUGUGUCAUGUAGCGGUGAAAUGCAUAGAUAUGACACAGAACACCGAUUGCGAAGGCAGCUGACGAAACUGUAACUGACGCUGAGGCUCGAAAGCGUGGGGGAUCAAACAGGAUUAGAUACCCUGGUAGUCCACGCCCUAAACUAUGAUUACUCGCUGUCGGCGAUAUACAGUCGGUAGCUAAGCGAAAGCGUUAAGUAAUCCACCUGGGGAGUACGCCCGCAAGGGUG
rnacentral:rRNA from 1 species